AGUGAACGCUGGCGGUAGGCCUAACACAUGCAAGUCGAACGGCAGCACAGUAAGAGCUUGCUCUUACGGGUGGCGAGUGGCGGACGGGUGAGGAAUACAUCGGAGUCUACUUUUUCGUGGGGGAUAACGUAGGGAAACUUACGCUAAUACCGCAUACGACCUACGGGUGAAAGCAGGGGAUCUUCGGACCUUGCGCGUUUGAAUGAGCCGAUGUCGGAUUAGCUAGUUGGCGGGGUAAAGGCCCACCAAGGCGACGAUCCGUAGCUGGUCUGAGAGGAUGAUCAGCCACACUGGAACUGAGACACGGUCCAGACUCCUACGGGAGGCAGCAGUGGGGAAUAUUGGACAAUGGGCGCAAGCCUGAUCCAGCCAUACCGCGUGGGUGAAGAAGGCCUUCGGGUUGUAAAGCCCUUUUGUUGGGAAAGAAAAGCAGCAGGUUAAUACCCCGCUGUUCUGACGGUACCCAAAGAAUAAGCACCGGCUAACUUCGUG
rnacentral:rRNA from 1 species